UUUGCCAUCGACCUUUGUUGGUUAUUGGGCUUUCUGUCUGUUAGCUGUUAUGGUUGACAGGUGCCACCGAGAGGUGUUUGAUUCUGACUUUUGCUUCUUCUCGGUUCCUUCUUUGUGUUAUCCUUUUGUUAUGCGAUAUGGAUUUUGGAGGAAUUAGUGCGAUAUAGGGUUUCUGUAAUAAGUUCUUGGCCUUUUACGAUCAGAUUGGGUGUUGACUUAGAUAUUUAUGUUUUCCUUAUCUGAGUUGUUGUGUGAUUGGACUGAGAUUUGGAUUGUGCUUCGGUUAGUUCAUCUGUGUUUUUAUGUUAUGAUUGAAUCUUAAGGAGGAGAAGAGAAAGUUGAUUAUAGGAUUUAGUUAUGAGGAGUUGCGGGUUGGGUUAUCUGGUGGUGUUUCUUCUUCUAAUCGAUUUGUGAAGAUUUUCGCCGAUUUGUACUCUUUUGAUCUGGAAAUGAAGCUGAAUAGAAAGCCCAACCCUAAUCAUUUACAAUUAACUUCUUGGGAGCCUUUCAUCUGUUUCUGAUAGAGAAUUGUGUCUACAAUCUGUGAAUUCCAUUGUGGUUGGGAAUCUUUCUUUUUCUUAUUUGGGUUGUUAUGAAAGUUGAGCGGCGUGAGAGGAAGAUAUCCAAGGCGAUCUGUUUGUUUUCCUCCGAUUGUCAAAGAAGUUCUUAUGUGAUCCGUCUUUCCAGUAGUGGGUCUUCAAGCUACCUGAACGGUGUCAAUAACUUCUCUUCAUUCAAUAAGACGUUCUCAAUAUGUCAAUUGGAUAAGAGUCCGUGUGUCCAGGGCCUGCAACCAAAAAGCUUCCAAACAACUACUUAUGUUGGCAUACAUUAUCUACUUAUUAAUGAGAAGGGAAAUGCUAUUCAUGCUAUAGUUGACGAGCAUGACUUCCCACAUACUGCUAAUUACAGGAGGGUUGUCUAUAUAACAACUUCCAUGUUUAUGUUAAAUCAAAUUGCAGUGGAUAUAAAGUUUUCAAUAGAGAUCUGGAGAUAGGUUUCAACGAGAUGUCAACUAUCACUCCUUUGAAGGAAGGUUCAUGCCCAAUCCCAAGAUAUGUGUGCCACUUUCUGCCCUUCCAUGAUGUAGAAAUAUGUUUCAAUGAGCAACAAAGAAUGGACAAAGAAAAGAAACGACUACUCUUGGCAGAUAUGUAUGGUUGCAUAAAGGAAGUUGUAUCAGUCCGCUCCCUGUUUGUUGCAGCAAGAAAUGAAAAUGAAUCAAUAUGUGAGAUCAUCCUUGAAAAUCACAGGUACAUUGGUGGUUUAUCUAUGAUAAUAAGAAAAAUGGCAUUUGUUAAUACUUUAUCCAACUUGAUCACUUGGCUGAUAUUUUCAUGAUACAUGAGUGAAACUAUAAAGAUCACACUCUGGGGGCAGAGCUGGCAAGAAAUUUUGACCUGAAGAAAGUAGAUGAAUCUCUAGCUCCUACAUUUGCUAUUUUCACAAAUCUAAGAAUGAAGAAGUAUAAAGGUGAUAUCACACCAACUGGAACAAACAUGCAUUAUCUUCAAUCCACAGAUUCCUCAGUAUGGAGAUUAUGCAGCACAACAGAAUUUAACAAACCAGGAGACAAAGCAAGGAUCAGCAAAUGACAUAUAGGAGAACAUUGAGAUGAAUUAUGGAAGUGAGUAAUGGAUCUGCGUACACUACAUCCAGUUCAGUGUAAAGACCAGAUAGUAUUUUGUCAUGCAAAUAUCUUGAGGUUUUCUUGCCACAGUGGUUGGUGGUAUGAUAGUUGUCCAGUUCAACGUUGCUCCAAACAAAUGAAGCUAAAAAUUGGAAGUGAUCAGCUCUCCUGCCCAGUCCAUGGAGAUAAAACUGUUAUUCCAGGGUAUAGGGUUUUCAUGACCAUCAAGGAUGAAAAGGAUCAGAUUACUGCGACUCUUAUUGGAAAACAUGCAGAGCACCUGUUUGGAUUCCCAUGCUUGGAUUUGCUCAGCAAAAAGAGACUAUAUAGAUCAGAGUGAUCUCCCUGAAGAAAUAACAACUGUGGUUGGUAGCACACAUAUGUUUGAGCUUAAACUUGGUUACAAUAAUGAGUUUGUUCUUAGGGGAUAUCCACCUGAAUUAUGAAGCUUUAGAACAGUCUCAAAUUGAAGUUACUUGAGCGCAAAUUGGAGAGAAAAAAUAGCGUCUUCAAGAGCUGGGACAUUGAUGCCAUAUGCAAAUCUGGAUAAGAAAGCAUAGAGAUAACUAUUACAUAAUAAUCUACUAUGUCGGUUUGUGAACCUGAUUUUAAAUUUACAGUUGGUAAUUAUGUGUUUGCAUUC